UACAGAGGUCUCAAGCGUUGUUCGGAUUCAUUGGGCGUAAAGGGUGCGUAGGCGGCGCGGUAAGUCGGGUGUGAAAUCUCGGAGCUUAACUUCGAAACUGCAUUCGAUACUGCCGUGCUUGAGGACUGGAGAGGAGACUGGAAUUUACGGUGUAGCGGUGAAAUGCGUAGAUAUCGUAAGGAAGACCAGUGGCGAAGGCGGGUCUCUGGACAGUUCCUGACGCUGAGACGCGAAAGCGUGGGGAGCAAACAGG
rnacentral:rRNA from 1 species